rnacentral:rRNA from 1 species
AACGUAGGACGCAAGCGUAUCCGGAGUUACUGGGCGUAAAGCGCGAGCAGGCGGCUUCUUAAGUCUGAUGUGAAAGCGCCCGGCUCAACCGGGCGAGGCCAUUGGAAACUAGGGAGCUGGAGGCAGUAGAGGCAGGCGGAAUUCCGGGUGGAGUGGUGAAAUGGCGUAGAGAUCCGGAGGAACACCAGAGGCGAAGGCGGCCUGCUGGGCUGCAACUGACACUG